GAGAGAGAGAGAGAGAGAGAGCUCGUGGGAUUGAGGAGAGGUUGGUUGGUAAUCUUAAAAGGGACAGUGCAUGGAAAUUAGUGGGUUUGAUUAAACCACUCCCUUUGCCUAAAAAUGGCAGUUUUUUGACGUUAGCUUCAUGCCUAGAAGUGCGCUCUUUUUCUCAGAAACGAUGGAUUUCUGUUUUCCUCACCACCAUCACUCGACCUGAUAAUAUAAAGACACAAACUCGA
rnacentral:misc_RNA from 1 species